rnacentral:rRNA from 1 species
AUUGAACGCUGGCGGCAGGCCUAACACAUGCAAGUCGGACGGUAGCACAGAGGAGCUUGCUCCUCGGGUGACGAGUGGCGGACGGGUGAGUAAUGUCUGGGGAACUGCCUGAUGGAGGGGGAUAACUACUGGAAACGGUAGCUAAUACCGCAUAACGUCGCAAGACCAAAGAGGGGGACCUUCGGGCCUCUUGCCAUCGGAUGUGCCCAGAUGGGAUUAGCUAGUAGGUGGGGUAACGGCUCACCUAGGCGACGAUCCCUAGCUGGUCUGAGAGGAUGACCAGCCACACUGGAACUGAGACACGGUCCAGACUCCUACGGGAGGCAGCAGUGGGGAAUAUUGCACAAUGGGCGCAAGCCUGAUGCAGCCAUGCCGCGUGUAUGAAGAAGGCCUUCGGGUUGUAAAGUACUUUCAGCGGGGAGGAAGGCGAUAAGGUUAAUAACCUUGUCGAUUGACGUUACCCGCAGAAGAAGCACCGGCUAACUCCGUGCCAGCAGCCGCAGUAA